GCUGUGGGAGCCACUGUGCCCAAGUGCCAGCUUCUCUGCGUGUGUCUCUCUCUCGUGUGCAUGUGUGUGUGUGUUUUGUGUGUGUUUUGUGUGUGUUAUGAUUAUUGUUUACGAAUGUCCCUUCCCAGGGUGGUUCCAGGCACAGCACUUGUGCGGUCGGGGUCGACAAUUAGCACAGGCCCUUGAAGCGCUGAAGUGGAACCCUCCAUGACCAGGUACUCAGCACACUGACUCUGCAGAGGCCUCCGCGGUCUUCCCCAGAGUGACAGGCUGAUGCUGUCCUCUGAGCUCCGUCCUGGGUGUUUUUCUGGCCUGGUGUCCUCUCAGAUGGGUAGCAUCCAUCAGCCUCUGCUGCGAGAGCACAUGGAGGAGCCUAUUUUGUUCCUGUUUUCAGAACAUCUAGCCUUCAUUUGCCUCCCUGAAGAUAAAGUGCGCUCAUCUUGUGCCCAAAGGAUCCACUCAAAGUCACCAAGAGGAUCGCUUCUGGCCAGGUGAUACUUGAGCCUGACUCUGUUUGCCCCAUGGGUCUGCGGCUCUGCCGGGAGGUGGUGAACCAUCCUGUUAGUGUUCGUUUAACAAGCUCCUCCUUUGGAAAGUGGUGCCCAUUGAGGGAACACAGGCCAUCCUUUGAGACCCAGAUGUCAAAGCUGGUAUCCUGAAAUAUAUUCAUACACAUAGCCUGUGAGUCAGUGGCACAGUGGGACGUACCAACAGUUCUCUGUCCUUGAUGUUUCCUCCUGGAGUCGGUGUGGGGGGCACCUCUCCUUGAGCUGUAGACACUUAAGGGCUGCCCUGGGAGAGAGAGACAUUUUCUUCAGUGGUGUAGACAUGGAUAAGUUGCUCCUGCUCACAGUAGUGAAACCCGUAGUGAAACUCGUAGUGACUUAGUGAAACCGUAGUAAAUACCUGUAGUGAAACUCACUGGGUCACAAAAAAAAAAAAAGGAAGAGGGACUAGUUUGAAAGAGGAAGGGGUCAGUGGGAGGGAGAGGGGGACAGAAGAGCAGGAUGGGGAGGAUGGCUACGAUGGAAAUACAUUAUAGACAUGUAUGAAAAUGCCAUAAUGAAACCCAUUAUUAUGUGUAAUGGAGGACUGGGACUUCUUCCUGAGGUUUGAGCUCUGUGGUCACGUGUACCACGUGACAUGUAGCUUGUGGAGCUCAAUCAGCAACAGGAAACUACAGCUCUGGAAACUGCCAGUCAAUGUCUCCUUCUUUGCCCAGGUUGUACCUGUAGAGGUGCCCAUAGACCCAGCGGCAGGGGUCACCUUGACUCUUCAUCCUCAGUGUGGAGAAGGGGGUCCAGAGGAGGGGGACUGCUCAGAGCCUGUGAGUUCUGACCACAUGGGGAGUCUGAUUGUCCCAAGAAAAGGGACUCCCAGGCCAGCAGCCAUGGUGGAUGGUGCCUGCUUGGCCUGGCCGGUCGGUUCCUUUCUUGAAGUAUCUUUCAGAAACAGAAUGGGGGCACAUUGCACAGAAAUGCUGCUGGUGGUCACACAUGAGUCUCCAUCUGGAUAGCACUGAGGGUCACUUGUGGACCAGCCGAGGCUCAGCAUCCAUCUACAGGCCACCCAGUGAAGGACCAAGGUUCCAUUGCCACCUCACAACAACGUCAUUAAAUUACAAAUCCGUCAGGGGAUUAAGUCACCAGCGAAGGCAGAGUCUGUCCUAAGGUUCCAGGCUUCUCAUCAAAGCCCCAGAUCUCAAUGCUGCUGCUGGAGCAUCCAAACAGUCAGCACAUGAGCUUUGAAGAGACACGUCAUAUCCGAACCAGGACAGAGUCACAGGCAGCAAACACCGUGGUCCUCAGUGUAUCUGCCUCUGGUUUCUUCGGAGGAUUGGGUUACAGAAUUCAUCCUGUGUUUGCCAGGUCUCAUCUCUGUCACAUGUUAAGCCACCCCUCCUUUGCGCUCCCACCUCAUACUGCCAGAGCCUUUUGUGCUCCAAGUGUGCCCCUUUCCAGCAGCUCUUCUCAGAGGCUGGUCCCCUGGCCUUGCCUUCCCCUGGCUCAGCCAUUCUAGGGGUGAUGAGGUAGUUGAGUCCCAGGACUAUGUUUAUAUUUCUGAAGUCCAAGCCACACAAGUAGUGAACAGCUGGCCGUCAAGAGGCUGAAGGGUCUCAAGCAGCCCAGCUGCUCCUCACCCAUCACGUCCUCCUGGAGAACUGGGAGGCAGAGCUACCGGAAACUGGUUGUUAACCCUGAGUCUUCCCUCUGAGCAUGGUGCUCUUUGAAGUUUCUGGACUCAGAGAUGGUCUGUGGGGCUGAUUCUCUGGGGAAUGGGGAUGGAGGUGGGAGCUCUGAUUGGAAAGAACAAGGAGAGAUAUGACGUAAA